rnacentral:rRNA from 1 species
CCUACGGGUGGCAGCAGUGAGGAAUAUUGGUCAAUGGGCGCGAGCCUGAACCAGCCAAGUCGCGUGAGGGAUGACGGUCCUACGGAUUGUAAACCUCUUUUGCCGGGGAGCAAGCGUGCGUUCGUGAACGCGCGUCGAGAGUACCCGGAGAAAAAGCAUCCGCUAACUCCGUGCCAGCCGCCGCGGUAAUACGGAGGAUGCGAGCGUUAUCCGAAUUUAUUGGGUUUAAAGGGUGCGUAGGCGGGCGGCAAAGUCAGCGGUAAAAAUGCGGGGCUAAAGGCCGUCGAGCCGUUGAAACUGGCGUUCUUGAGUGGGCGAGAGGUAUGCGGAAUGCGUGGUGUAGCGGUGAAAUGCAUAGAGAUCACGCAGAACUCCGGUUGCGAAGGCAGCAUACCGGCGCACUACUGACGCUGAGGCACGAAAGCGUGGGUAUCGAACAGGAUUAGAUACCCCGGUAGUC